CCCUCCACCCUCCACCCUCCACCUCCACCCGAGAGAAUCGAUGCUUUACCGUUACUCCGACCGGCUGUACUGUGCUCCGUUCCCACUGCCGUGUUUAUGGCGUUUUGGGUUUCUUUGUGUUGAGCGUUAGAGGCGAAGCCGUCAAUGUUGCCCUUCUGUUACUGUUGAAAUCCAUUUGAACAAUGAAAAUUGUUGGGGCUCAUAAGCGCUAGCGGCUCGGCCGCGCGUUUACCGUUCCUACUUUAUAGACUAAAUAUAAGUAAAUCGAUUGUUCUCGCUCGCUCGAAAUGUAUGAGCGACAUGUCCAAGAAAUGUUAACAACGGGCAAACCCGAUGCUACGUUAAGAUGGUUUUUUAUGAUCAUAAUUUACAGUCGUAAUAUCUUGAGUGUUUCAUAAAAUGUUCUUUAUCACACUUGUGUGGGAAUAAACUCAUUUAAAACAUGAUAUUGAUCCACAAUUUUGUAAAUUUUUCACGUAAGGUUAGAAGGCAAAGAUCCAUUCUUAAUAGAACCACGAUUGAAAAUUAUUCAUAAGUUUAAUUUUAUACCAAAAAUAACAUUUACAUGACUAAUACUUAUAAUAAAAACCGUUUUUUCCCUAAGAGAAACGAUUACUUCCUAUUGUGUCGAAAAUCGUCCUUUUCAAGCAAGUGUGAUGAGAAGAAAACUAUUCACAUUUACUAUGACUUAAUUUACUCUACGUGUGAUCCGUAAUAACGUUGCAUAUUUUCUAUGGUUGGGCAAUAUUGACGAGCUUUGCCUUGAAACACUUGUUCUGUUCUGGUAUUUUCGUUCCAAGCUGACGACCUAUCCAAGAUGACAAUGGUACUACAUCGACACACGCCAAACGAAAAGAAAAAAUUAUCGGGAUGCUACGUAAAGUGGCUAUUCCCAUACAUUUUUGUCUUUCGAUUGGCGUUUUCUAUCGAUGGUUGUCAUCUAGGCUAGGCUUUCAUGCCAUUUUCAAUCGUGGUUAUGGAUUGUAAGGGUAUUGCCUUCGCAUUCUCGCUCGUGGUUCGCCGAGCCAUAGCAUCGUGUCCACGCCUGCAUGCAUACCGCAGCACACCGAGAUAACAGUAGCUAAUUAUUAUUAUACGAAAAUAGAUACUAAUUAACUUGAAAGAGCUGUACUCCAGUAUAUCAUUUUACGGUUUAAAUCACGUAUAGGCGUGUCUAAUUGUCACUCCGCUGGACAUAUUUCGCUCGCUUAGUGAGAGUAAAACCGUAAAAUUAUACUGUCUUAACUUUAGUAUGUCUCAUAAAAAAAAACAAAUACUAUUAUUUACCAGUGCUGUAUCUAUAUUUGUUAAUAUAAUAAAAUUGACAUAGUUCAUUUAACGUAUAAUCACUGAUGAUCUAAUAUUUUGUCGAGAAUGACCGUAAAGUUGCUCAUUCUCAUUGCCGUUAAAUAUGUUGAUAACGAAUUUAAAUUUAAUUACCUUAAGUUAAUUGUUAACUCGGUGAGCAAUUAGGUAAUUGUACCUGUAUUGAUCUCUAGCAGUCUUAUAAAGACUAAGGAGCAUUAUAUAAUUCAACCCCAAGGCUCGGAUACCGGUUAGUUUUUCAAACAAUUUCAUUUUAUAUGACCUAAAACUUUUAUUUUGAUUUCGUUUUAGAAACUUUAUUUUAUCGGCUUUUGAAGCAGUAUUUUAAACCUAAAGGUUUUUAUUUUUACUGGUUAAAACCAGUUAAAUUCCGUUGUCCACGACAGUAGGCAGCUAAGGCUUUAUUUCGGUUCGGAGCUAAACCGGUAUUUUUUUUUUUAUUAUGAAUGGUUCCGAGCCUUGAUCGACCCGCUUUCCUUGGCAGCAUGUGAUUUCAUUGACUUGGAUGUUGUGGUUAGUGAUUUUUUUUAUUAGAAUAAUUAGCACUACCGUGUAGUGUGUAAAUGUAGAAACAUUGAAUGUUUCCAGAAUAAAAUGUAUUUUAUUAAAUCUGUUGAAUCUCCUAGAUUUUUUUCUUUGUAAUUAUGUAAUAAGCAGACGAUUUAUUAUAGCCUCUAAGGUAUGUGUAUCUAUAUCCAAUUCUUCCAUAUUAUUGUGAAAGUUGAAUUUGCUUGUAUCUAUUGUAGAAAUACUCAAAAGUUAUAUUGAUAACUGGUCAGCAUGUUAUCUUGACUUGCAUGUGGCUGCUAUACUCGAUGCUUCAAGGCAGCUAAAUACACUUUACUUGAUUUGGUGUAAAUAUACUAUAAAAGGCAACUAUAAAUAGGGGUCAUCCAUUAAUUACAUCACACGUUUAGGGGGAGGGAGGGGUCAAGAAAAUGUGACAUGUUGUGACAUGGGGGAGGGGGGAGACACAAACUUUGUGACGUCACUUUAACUUCAUCAGUAACCCAAAAUUUUUUUUAUUUUUUUUAUUCGCUGUACAUUUAAAUAACAAGUUUUUAAAACGAUAAUCGUUUUUAUUCGUUUAAUUUUCUUUCCUAUGCAGUUUUGGGUUAUAAAAUUACCAAUAUUUAUAUCGUCAAAAAUAUAUUAAUAAAAUAUUAAUAAUACUUAGGUACUUACUUAAUUCGAUUUGGCGAUUUCGUAGAAAAAAUGUGACGUCACACUAGGGGGGAGGGGUUUGCCAAAUGUGACCAAGUGUGACAAGGAGGGGGGGAGGGGUCAAAAAACCUAGAAAUUCGUGUGACGUAAUUAAUGGAUGACCCCAUAUAAAUCGUAUACGUAACAAGUUAACGUAGCAGUAGUGAGGAUAAACGCCCGAAACUCUCUACAAAAAAAGACGCUUACAUUAUUCAGGUUAGCAAAAGCCGUUAGGUCGAAUUCUAGGUUUCAAAUUUUAAAUAUAUAAUAUAUAUAUAAACCAUUUGAUUUCAAUGCAGUUGAUAACUUACAACGAGAAAAAAAAAUCGUGUUUUAAUCAUUUUACUCAAUUUACUGUCACUUGUUUUGCGAAUUUAAGUUCAACAGGAGUUGGUAUCUAUUUCAAUUGCUUUAUGUAGUGAGCAAUUGAAAUUUUUUAAUUCCAUUAUGGCCCUUAUGCGGCGUAAUUUUGUAGUAAGUUCGCGAUUGGUAAUAGUAGCAAAUCAAAAUGUAUACCGCUGUGUUAGCUGGUUAAAAGUAGUCAAAAGCUAUUUUAACACCACGAAUAAAAUUUUGCGCAUCUAUCAUUUGUAUUGUAUUUGAAUUUAUUGAGCCUUUUAUCAGUAAUAUAUGUGUAUGUUUGUCUGAUGUGAUGAUUGCUGUUAGUAAUCGCAAGUGCAUGCAACUGCGACGUAUGGCCUGCUCAGUAGGCCUAGCACAGGAGCGACGACGCGACAAUAUCUCGCACGCGAGAUGGACUACCCGUCUUUUUAUUACGAGAUAUUGUCGCGCCGCUUGAGUGCUAGGCAUAUAGUUACAUAAAUACCCUCAAGCUCAGAUUUAUACGAAUCGUUACUUACUUACUCACUUAAUGAAUUUAUUUUACUACUUACAAUGUCGGGUAUUAACCGAAUUUAAAAUCUUAAUAAUGCAAUUAACGCUUUACGUUUUGAUAUUAUUUGAAGUAUAAGAUAAGUAUUUAAGUUUUGUUUACACAAUUGAUUUGUGUGGUGUGAUAAUUUAUUGACACCUGUAAUACAUAUAUCCAACGCAUGUGUUGUGUAGAUUUUGUAGUGGGGACUGUAGCAGCAAUGUUUAGGGUCCAGCCGCCAUCAGAUAUAUCGGAGCUGCCGAGGUGCCCAUAAUUAUCUGAUUACACACUAUAACGCCUUAACAAUAGAAGCGUGUUCAGAUACUUGUGAGCACCUUGGCCGCUCCGAUAUAUCUGAUGGCGAAUGUACCUUGCACUUUUUAGGCGAUUCCGCGUGGCAUGUUAGCUCCUUGGCGAUACUAACUCGAGCUAAUCUUGUACCACUUCAAUAUGUACACUAUUUCUGCCGAUUCAAAGAUAUUGUCACAUCAUGUUUGCUAUCAUUUUAUCGAGAUAUUGAAAUUAAAAAAAAGUGCUAGGUUUCUGCUACUACAGCCCUCGCAAGUUUGUCAUGUGAUUUUAUAGUGAUGUCUUAUCUCAUUUCUAUUUUGUGCAAUUACGUUAAAUAAACGUAUUUUCGUUCAGUAUUGUAUUAGCCUACAAUUGUUUAUAUUUCUACAAUGCAUUUUUUUAAAAUACAAUCGCCAGGGCUCGGAACCGGUAUUAAAAUACCUGUUAAUAUAGUUCCAAACUCUUCCAUUAAAAACCGGUAAGUUGUUGGAAUGCGAACUACGUUAAAAAAUUACGUUCUCUUUUCCAACCGGUAAAAAGACGGAACAGAAUGUUAUGGUUCGCGGGGAACGAUAUAAUACCGGUUACUCUCUUCUUUCAGAAACUCGGUUUAACUCGUUAUCAUACGUGAAAAAGACAGCAAUAACUUACUCGUUCUAUCUAGCUUCGAUAUUUCCAAUUUCACCGGUAAAUUACGUUCCACAAAAAAACAAAUUGGUAUAAACUGGUAUAUAUCUCAAUAGAACAGUUGUUUAACCGGUAACCGCAAACGAAACUCUUCAUUCCCGGGGGAAUGAAUGAACCGGUUUAAAAAUAAUACGGUUUCUGAGCCCUGACAGUCGCAAAUUAAAAAUUAUUAGGUUAGAAAUUUUAAAUUUAGCCUUAACUAAACAGUGGGCAAUAAAAUGUUCACUGCAAUAAACGUGAACAUAAUGAUUUCUUGAUAUCCUCAUAAAUUAGCUUUAAGCAAAGAUUAUUAUAUUAACGAAUCUAUAAAGCGUAACGGAAUAGGUUUAUCUGUUUACAUCAGAUAUCGACAUUUAUGUACAUAACUUGUAAUAUGAAAUAAAUUUUGUUGAAAUAUU